rnacentral:rRNA from 1 species
CACUCCUGCGGGAGGCAGCAGUGGGGAAUUUUGGACAAUGGGCGAAAGCCUGAUCCAGCACUGCCGCGUGAGUGAAGAAGGCCUUCGGGUUGUAAAGCUCUUUUGUCAGGGAAGAAACGGUGAAAGCUAAUAUCUUUUGCUAAUGACGGUACCUGAAGAAUAAGCACCGGCUAACUACGUGCCAGCAGCCGCGGUAAUACGUAGGGUGCAAGCGUUAAUCGGAAUUACUGGGCGUAAAGCGUGCGCAGGCGGUUUUGUAAGUCUGAUGUGAAAUCCCCGGGCUCAACCUGGGAAUUGCAUUGGAGACUGCAAGGCUAGAAUCUGGCAGAGGGGGGUAGAAUUCCACGUGUAGCAGUGAAAUGCGUAGAUAUGUGGAGGAACACCGAUGGCGAAGGCAGCCCCCUGGGUCAAUAUUGACGCUCAUGCACGAAAGCGUGGGGAGCAAACAGGAUUAGAUACGCCUGUAGUCCCAU